AGCGUAGGCGUUAUUAUAAGUCCGAUGUUAAAUCCAAAGGCUUAACCUUUGAACCGCGUCGGAAACUAUAAUAAUCGAGUCAGAUAGAGGAAAGCAGAAUUCUUGGUGUAGCGGUGAAAUGCGUUGAUAUCAAGAGGAAUACCAAUUGCGAAGGCAGCUUUCUGGAUCUGUACUGACGCUAAGGCUCGAAAGCGUGGGUAGCAAAAC
rnacentral:rRNA from 1 species